rnacentral:rRNA from 1 species
UACGUAGGGUGCAAGCGUUGUCCGGAAUUAUUGGGCGUAAAGGGCGCGUAGGCGGCUUUGCAAGUGGACGGGUGAAAUCCCUCGGCUUAACCGAGGAACUGCCUGCCAGACUGUGAGGCUUGAGACCGGGAGAGGUGGAGUGGAAUUCCCAGUGUAGCGGUGAAAUGCGUAGAUAUUGGGAGGAACACCAGUGGCGAAGGCGGCUCACGUGGACCGGAACUCGGACGCUGAGGCGCG